rnacentral:lncRNA from 1 species
GCCUCUCAAGUUGCUGGGAUUACAAACAUGUUCCACCAUGCACUGCUUCCAAUAAAACUGUAUUUUAAAAAUAGGCUCUGGGCUGGAUUUGAUCAUGAAUCAUGGUGUACCUGACCCCUGUUCUAAUGAACAAUAUAGCCACUAAACAGAUUAUUUGAAAUGAUGAUUACUUAAAAGGACAGGGUAAAUAAAGACCCAUGGCAUAAUUGCCUAAUCUAGUCUAGGGAGACAAAUAAAAGUUUCUUUGAGGAAAAUGACUUUAGAUUUGAGGAAGAGAAAUUAUCCAAAUGAAAGUAGGGGUACCAGGCUUAGUGAAGAUCCAAAGCAUGAAAAAAACAUGAGUUAGAAAUUCAUUCCUAAGCUUCAUGAUUAUCAGAGAGAGCUAGAUGGAUUUGUUAAAGUAUAGCAUAUUGAGUGAAAAGAUAGACCCAGAGCACUCAAGAAUUUUCAGAACCUAGUACUUCCCUAGAAGAGAAAAUGCUACCAAGAGAGACUCGAAAGGAACCACCAGUGAGAAGUAGCAGGAGGAGAAAGUUUAAGACUUUGCAGAAUCCUCUAGCCUGCUUUUCCAUUUGGCCUGGAUAUUUAUGGAUGUGUGGAAUGUAGGUUGGAAAAUAUUAGCCUAAAGGUUCUAAGAUACUCAGAGAAUUGACAGUUUCUGAAGGGUAAGAUAGAUAGGUAGAUAUCUAAUAUAUAUAUUAGAGAGGGAGAGAGAAUAGAGCUGAGGGGCGAGCAGGAG